UCACUUGCCUGUCAGGGGCGAUACUAUGGUCAUGCAGGUGGUUUGCCCGGGGCGAGGCUCAGCCACUGCACUCCGGCUGUGCUGACCCCUGCGAAUUCCCCCAACGUGGGAAUCUUGACUCCAACUUUGCCGGUUCGUAUCCCGCAGCCGGCAG
rnacentral:snRNA from 12 species